GGUGACACCCCUACUCUUCUCAAGAGACACCCUGGGAUUGUUAAUGACCACAGAGAGUCAGGACCUCGGUUCUACAGUAUAGUUAGAGAACAUAAACAUUAUCCAGUAUCUGACUGGACACAGACUCAAAACCGCUGGCUUCAAUUUAAUAAAAAGUCAAGAUACUACCUCACGAACCUGGAGCCUGAAAUAACAAAUCACGUAAAAAAAUAAUGAUGCGUCCGAACACUGGAGACCUCCUCGUCUCAUGAAGGGGCUGCAGUAACAACAGUGCUGCCACUAGGGGCCGCCAAAGACGCAGCUAAAACAGUCAUACAGCUGCUACAGUUUGUCACAGAGCACUGUGCUCUGCAGACUGUUAAAAUCUCUGCAUCUGAAGGGCUGUGAGGAUACAGCACAGGAUCUCCUGGGUGAGAAGUUCUGAUAUUGUUAAUUACAAUAAUCUGGACGAGAGCACAGACAGCACCCCUCCCCUCAGACAGCAGCUCCACCCCAGGAACAGACCAAUUACACCUCAACAAACGCCUCCAGAAAGUGAAAGUGACAGUUUUCACAGGUGAAGAUGACUUAUCACUGAGCUCACCCUUAAAACUUUUAUAUCAAAGAAGGAAGGAGGCACUUCUGAAAGAAUCUGGAGAGAGCAGCUCGUCCUGUUGGUCACCCGCAAUCCUGUUCUUUCUUCAACACCCUGAAAGGCACUUAGGAAUAUUCUUGUGUCCGUAUCUUCGCAAGGGAAACCCAGAACGCCUUCAAAUCAAACGUAUUUUAAACACCUCGACUUGUGAAAAUGUUCACAACCCCUCCAUAAACGUAUCAGUGAGGUCGCCACCAUGAGGACGAUUGUAGGAUCGGUCCUGAUUCUCCUGCUUGUCAGUGAGUAUCUCUCUCGCAGUGAUGACGCUGUGAUCAGUCAUGUGUGCCAGUCCAAUCAAGAGUAGAGAAAUGAUCAAACUCUGCAGCAGAGACUAGAGGUCUGAUUCUGACAGUGGUUCUGAGAGAGACAGGACACAGAGCCAUCAGGAUACUGAGAUCUUUCUGGAAUCCUGCAGGUUCCACUCCAGCAACAGCAACAACAACAAGAACAACAACUCAGGCUCCAAGUCCGGCAGAUGUGACCUUCACUUUAAACUGCAGCCUAAACCAGGACUUCACAGGAGAACUUUUUGACAGCACCUCCGCAGCAUUCAAGGAACUGGCAGGGAAUGUGGAGAAACAGGUGGGUCCAUUUGUC